rnacentral:rRNA from 1 species
ACGGGUGAGUAACACGUAGGUAACCUACCCUUCAGUGGGGGACAACAGAGGGAAACUUCUGCUAAUACCGCAUACGAUCACGGACUGAGAUGUUCGUGGUGAAAGGAUUUAUUCGCUGAGGGAUGGGCCUGCGGCCUAUCAGGUAGUUGGUGGGGUAAUGGCCUACCAAGCCUGCGACGGGUAGCCGGACUGAGAGGUCGAUCGGCCACACUGGAACUGAGACACGGUCCAGACUCCUACGGGAGGCAGCAGUGGGGAAUAUUGCACAAUGGGGGAAACCCUGAUGCAGCGACGCCGCGUGGAGGAUGACGGCCUUCGGGUUGUAAACUCCUUUUGUCGGGGACAAUGGUGAUGGUACCCGACGAAUAAGCCACGGCUAACUCUGUGCCAGCAGCCGCGGUAAGACAGAGGUGGCGAGCGUUGUUCGGAAUUACUGGGCUUAAAGGGCGCGUAGGCGGUGGUGUAAGUCUAGGGUGGAAUGCUACAGCUCAACUGUAGAGCUGCCUUGGAAACUGCAUUACUUGAGUCGGUGAGGGGAAGGUGGAAUUCCAGGU